rnacentral:siRNA from 1 species
CUCGCCUUAACCUGUGACUCUGUC